rnacentral:rRNA from 1 species
UAUAAUGGGUCAGCGACUUAUAUUCUGUAGCAAGGUUAACCGAAUAGGGGAGCCGGAGGGAAACCGAGUCUUAAUUGGGCGUUAAGUUGCAGGGUAUAGACCCGAAACCCGGUGAUCUAGCCAUGGGCAGGUUGAAGGUUGGGUAACACUAACUGGAGGACCGAACCGACUAAUGUUGAAAAAUUAGCGGAUGACCUGUGGCUGGGGGUGAAAGGCCAAUCAAACCGGGAGAUAGCUGGUUCUCCCCGAAAGCUAUUUAGGUAGCGCCUCGUGAAUUCAUCUCCGGGGGUAGAGCACUGUUUCGGCUAGGGGGCCAUCCCGGCUUACCAACCCGAUGCAAACUGCGAAUACCGGAGAAUGUUAUCACGGGAGACACACGGCGGGUGCUAACGUCCGUCGUGAAGAGGGAAACAACCCAGACCGCCAGCUAAGGUCCCAAAGUCAUGGUUAAGUGGGAAACGAUGUGGGAAGGCCCAGACAGCCAGGAUGUUGGCUUAGAAGCAGCCAUCAUUUAAAGAAAGCGUAAUAGCUCACUGGUCGAGUCGGCCUGCGCGGAAGAUGUAACGGGGCUAAACCAUGCACCGAAGCUGCGGCAGCGACACUGUGUGUUGUUGGGUAGGGGAGCGUUCUGUAAGCCUGUGAAGGUGUGUCGUGAGGCAUGCUGGAGGUAUCAGAAGUGCGAAUGCUGACAUAAGUAACGAUAAAGCGGGUGAAAAGCCCGCUCGCCGGAAGACCAAGGGUUCCUGUCCAACGUUAAUCGGGGCAGGGUGAGUCGACCCCUAAGGCGAGGCCGAAAGGCGUAGUCGAUGGGAAACGGGUUAAUAUUCCCGUACUUGGUGUUACUGCGAAGGGGGGACGGAGAAGGCUAUGUUGGCCGGGCGACGGUUGUCCCGGUUUAAGCGUGUAGGUGUGUGUUCCAGGUAAAUCCGGUUCACUUUAACACUGAGGCGUGACGACGAGGCACUACGGUGCUGAAGCAACAAAUGCCCUGCUUCCAGGAAAAGCCUCUAAGCAUCAGGUAACAUCAAAUCGUACCCCAAACCGACACAGGUGGUCAGGUAGAGAAUACCAAGGCGCUUGAGAGAACUCGGGUGAAGGAACUAGGCAAAAUGGUGCCGUAACUUCGGGAGAAGGCACGCUGACACGUAGGUGAAGUGAUUUACUCAUGGAGCUGAAGUCAGUCGAAGAUACCAGCUGGCUGCAACUGUUUAUUAAAAACACAGCACUGUGCAAACACGAAAGUGGACGUAUACGGUGUGACGCCUGCCCGGUGCCGGAAGGUUAAUUGAUGGGGUCAGCGCAAGCGAAGCUCCUGAUCGAAGCCCCGGUAAACGGCGGCCGUAACUAUAACGGUCCUAAGGUAGCGAAAUUCCUUGUCGGGUAAGUUCCGACCUGCACGAAUGGCGUAAUGAUGGCCAGGCUGUCUCCACCCGAGACUCAGUGAAAUUGAACUCGCUGUGAAGAUGCAGUGUACCCGCGGCAAGACGGAAAGACCCCGUGAACCUUUACUAUAGCUUGACACUGAACAUUGAGCCUUGAUGUGUAGGAUAGGUGGGAGGCUUUGAAGUGUGGACGCCAGUCUGCAUGGAGCCGACCUUGAAAUACCACCCUUUAAUGUUUGAUGUUCUAACGUGGACCCGUUACCCGGGUUGCGGACAGUGUCUGGUGGGUAGUUUGACUGGGGCGGUCUCCUCCUAAAGAGUAACGGAGGAGCACGAAGGUUGGCUAAUCCUGGUCGGACAUCAGGAGGUUAGUGCAAUGGCAUAAGCCAGCUUGACUGCGAGCGUGACGGCGCGAGCAGGUGCGAAAGCAGGUCAUAGUGAUCCGGUGGUUCUGAAUGGAAGGGCCAUCGCUCAACGGAUAAAAGGUACUCCGGGGAUAACAGGCUGAUACCGCCCAAGAGUUCAUAUCGACGGCGGUGUUUGGCACCUCGAUGUCGGCUCAUCACAUCCUGGGGCUGAAGUAGGUCCCAAGGGUAUGGCUGUUCGCCAUUUAAAGUGGUACGCGAGCUGGGUUUAGAACGUCGUGAGACAGUUCGGUCCCUAUCUGCCGUGGGCGCUGGAGAACUGAGGGGGGCUGCUCCUAGUACGAGAGGACCGGAGUGGACGCAUCACUGGUGUUCGGGUUGUCAUGCCAAUGGCACUGCCCGGUAGCUAAAUGCGGAAGAGAUAAGUGCUGAAAGCAUCUAAGCACGAAACUUGCCCCGAG